ACACUCCUGCGGGAGGCAGCAGUGGGGAAUAUUGCACAAUGGGCGCAAGCCUGAUGCAGCCAUGCCGCGUGUAUGAAGAAGGCCUUCGGGUUGUAAAGUACUUUCAGCGGGGAGGAAGGCGAUAAGGUUAAUAACCUUGUCGAUUGACGUUACCCGCAGAAGAAGCACCGGCUAACUCCGUGCCAGCAGCCGCGGUAAUACGGAGGGUGCAAGCGUUAAUCGGAAUUACUGGGCGUAAAGCGCACGCAGGCGGUCUGUCAAGUCGGAUGUGAAAUCCCCGGGCUCAACCUGGGAACUGCAUUCGAAACUGGCAGGCUAGAGUCUGGUAGAGGGGGGUAGAAUUCCAGGUGUAGCGGUGAAAUGCGUAGAGAUCUGGAGGAAUACCGGUGGCGAAGGCGGCCCCCUGGACAAAGACUGACGCUCAGGUGCGAAAGCGUGGGGAGCAAACAGGAUUAGAAACCCCGGUAGUCCC
rnacentral:rRNA from 1 species